UACAGAGGGUGCGAGCGUUAAUCGGAAUUACUGGGCGUAAAGCGUGCGUAGACGGUUAUUUAAGUCGGGUGUGAAAGCCCCCGGCUCAACUGGGGAGGGUCACGCGAUACUGAUCGACUCGAAGGCAGGAGAGGGUAGUGGAAUUCCCGGUGUAGUGGUGAAAUGCGUAGAUAUCGGGAGGAACACCAGUGGCGAAGGCGACUACCUGGCCUGUUUCUUGACGCUGAGGCGCGAAAGCUAGGGGAGCAAACGGG
rnacentral:rRNA from 1 species